rnacentral:rRNA from 1 species
AAACGAAAUUCAUGAAUCAUGUUUAUUGGACUCAGCCGUUCUUCGGUGUACUUCCUUUAAACGGGUCAACAUCAGUUUUGUCCGAUGGAUAAAGGUAGUAGGAAGGUGGCUCUCUCGGGAGUGUUAUAGCCUAUUGCUGCAUACAUUGGAUGAGACUGAGGACUGCAGCUUGCCUUUAUGGCCGGGGUUCGCCCACGUUCAAGCUUAGGAUGUUGACAUAUUCUCGAAUCACGA